rnacentral:tRNA from 1 species
GGAUUAUGGCUUAGCGGUAGAGUGCUCGCUUAGCAUGUGUGGGGCCCUGGGUUCGAUCCUCAGCACCA